rnacentral:ncRNA from 1 species
UUUCCCUCAGGAGAGCUUGCACUCGAUUGAGACGAUUCUCAUCCGGUAGAGCGAAUGAUUAGAGGCAUUGUGGGGUCGAAACAACCUCAACAUCUAUUCUCAAACUCCAAAUAGAUGAGAUCCUCCCGGGCUUUCUUAAAAGUGAAGCCGUGGGAAUAGGAUCAGAGUGCCAAGUUGGCCAAUUUUGGUAAGCAGAAGCUGGCGCUGUGGGAUGAACCAAACGCAGAGCUAAGGCGCCUAAAUUGACGCUCAAUUCCCUGCGUAAAGGUUGCACUACAGGAAUAAUUUUUUAAUUAAAUUGCUCUUCG